rnacentral:rRNA from 1 species
AGCAAUACUUAGUGGCAGACGGGUGAGUAACAUGUAGGUAUCUACCCUUUGGCCUGGAAUAACACGAGGAAACUUGUGCUAAUACUGGAUAAGUCUUUACGGAGAAAGCUUUAUGCACCAUUGGAUGAGCCUGCACUUGAUUAGUUUGUUGGUGGGGUAAUGGCCUACCAAGACUGUGAUCAAUAGCUGAUUUGAGAGGAUGAUCAGCCACAUUGGGACUGAGACACGGCCCAAACUCCUACGGGAGGCAGCAGUGGGGAAUCUUGCACAAUGGAGGAAACUCUGAUGCAGCGAUGCCGCGUGAGUGAAGAAGGCCCUUGGGUUGUAAAGCUCUUUCGUCGGGGAAGAAAAUGACUGUACCCGAAUAAGAAGGUCCGGCUAACUUCGUGCCAGCAGCCGCGGUAAUACGAAGGGACCUAGCGUAGUUCGGAAUUACUGGGCUUAAAGAGUUCGUAGGUGGUUGAAAAAGUUAGUGGUGAAAUCCCAGAGCUUAACUCUGGAACUGCCAUUAAAACUUUUCAGCUAGAGUAUGAUAGAGGAAAGCAGAAUUUCUAGUGUAGAGGUGAAAUUCGUAGAUAUUAGAAAGAAUACCGAUUGCGAAGGCAGCUUUCUGGAUCAUAACUGACACUGAGGAACGAAAGCAUGGGUAGCGAAGAGGAUUAGAUACCCUCGUAGUCCAUGCCGUAAACGAUGUGUGUUAGACGUUGGAAAUUUAUUUUCAGUGUCGCAGCGAAAGCGAUAAACAC